rnacentral:tmRNA from 1 species
GGGGCUGAUUCUGGAUUCGACGGGAUUUGCGAAACCCAAGGUGCAUGCCGAGGGGCGGUUGGCCUCGUAAAAAGCCGCAAAAAAAUAGUCGCAAACGACGAAAACUACGCUUUAGCAGCUUAAUAACCUGCUUAGAGCCCUCUCUCUCCCUAGCCUCCGCUCUUAGGACGGGGAUCAAGAGAGGUCAAACCCAAAAGAGAUCGCGCGGAUGCCCUGCCUGGGGUUGAAGCGUUAAAACGAAUCAGGCUAGUCUGGUAGUGGCGUGUCCGUCCGCAGGUGCCAGGCGAAUGUAAAGACUGACUAAGCAUGUAGUACCGAGGAUGUAGGAAUUUCGGACGCGGGUUCAACUCCCGCCAGCUCCACCA